rnacentral:rRNA from 1 species
GAGACAGUUCGGUCUCUAUCUAUCGUGGGCGUAUGAAAUUUGCGUGGCUCUGACACUAGUACGAGAGGACCGUGUUGGACUGACCUCUGGUUUACCGGUUGUGCCGCCAGGUGCAUUGCCGGGUAUCUAAGUCGGGAUUGGAUAAGUGCUGAAAGCAUCUAAGUACGAAGCCAGCCACAAGAUUAGAUUUCUUUCUGGGUCGUUGUAGACUACAACGUUGAUAGGACGCAGGUGUACAGGUGGUAACAUCACAGCCGAGCGUUACUAAUUGCCCGAUGACUUUCUUU